CCGGACAAAAGCCACAGUAAUCUGCUCUCUGGUCUAAGGCUUUUUCUCAUAUUUCUGAAAGACUGAAGUGACCUACUUGGAAUCCUAAGACCUUCCUUAUCCACCCUCCAAUACCUGCCUGGGGUAGUAUUCACCUGGGUUACCUCCCCGGACAAAAGCCACAGUAAUCUGCUCUCUGGUCUAAGGCUUUUUCUCAUAUUUCUGAAAGACUGAAGUGACCUACUUGGAAUCCUAAGACCUUCCUUAUCCACCCUCCAAUACCUGCCUGGGGUAGUAUUCACCUGGGUUACCUCCCCGGACAAAAGCCACAGUAAUCUGCUCUCUGGUCUAAGGCUUUUUCUCAUAUUUCUGAAAGACUGAAGUGACCUACUUGGAAUCCUAAGACCUUCCUUAUCCACCCUCCAAU